rnacentral:rRNA from 1 species
UACAGGGGGGGCAAGCGUUGUUCGGAAUUACUGGGCGUAAAGGGCUCGUAGGCGGCCAACUAAGUCACACGUGAAAUCCCCAGGCUUAACCUGGGAACUGCGUGUGAUACUGGAUGGCUUGAAUUCGGGAGAGGGAUGCAGAAUUCCAGGUGUAGCGGUGAAAUGCGUAGAUAUCUGGAGGAAUACCGGUGGCGAAGGCGGCAUCCUGGACCGACAUUGACGCUGAUGAGCGAAAGCGUGGGGGGCGAACAGG